AUUGAACGCUGGCGGCAGGCUUAACACAUGCAAGUCGAGCGGGGGGAGGUAGCUUGCUACCUAACCUAGCGGCGGACGGGUGAGUAAUGCUUAGGAAUCUGCCUAUUAGUGGGGGACAACAUUUCGAAAGGGAUGCUAAUACCGCAUACGCCCUAAGGGGGAAAGCAGGGGAUCUUCGGACCUUGCGCUAAUAGAUGAGCCUAAGUCGGAUUAGCUAGUUGGUGGGGUAAAGGCCUACCAAGGCGACGAUCUGUAGCGGGUCUGAGAGGAUGAUCCGCCAAACUGGGACGGAGACACGGCCCAGACUCCUACGGGAGGCAGCAGUGGGGAAUAUUGGACAAUGGGGGGAACCCUGAUCCAGCCAUGCCGCGUGUGUGAAGAAGGCCUUUUGGUUGUAAAGCACUUUAAGCGAGGAGGAGGCUACCGAGAUUAAUACUCUUGGAUAGUGGACGUUACUCGCAGAAUAAGCACCGGCUAACUCUGUGCCAGCCGCCGCAGUAACAC
rnacentral:rRNA from 1 species